rnacentral:rRNA from 1 species
AUUGAACGCUGGCGGCAGGCCCAACACAUGCAAGUCGAGCGGAUGAAGGGAGCUUGCUCCUGGAUUCAGCGGCGGACGGGUGAGUAAUGCCUAGGAAUCUGCCUGGUAGUGGGGGAUAACGUCCGGAAACGGGCGCUAAUACCGCAUACGUCCUGAGGGAGAAAGUGGGGGAUCUUCGGACCUCACGCUAUCAGAUGAGCCUAGGUCGGAUUAGCUAGUUGGUGGGGUAAAGGCCUACCAAGGCGACGAUCCGUAACUGGUCUGAGAGGAUGAUCAGUCACAGUGGAACUGAGACAAGGUCCAGAAUCCUACGGGAGGCAGCAGGGGGGAAUAUGGGACAAUGGGCGAAAGCCUGAUCCAGCCAUGACGCGUGGGUGAAGAAGGGCUUCGGAUUGUAAAGCACGUUAAGUUGGGAGGAAGGGCAGUAAGUUAAUACCGUGCUGUUUUGACGGUACCAACAGAAUAAGCACCGGCUAACUUCGUG